UACGUAGGGGGCAAGCGUUGUCCGGAUUCCUUGGGCGUAAAGAGCGUGUAGGCGGCCAGGUAGGUCGGUUGUGAAAACUGGAGGCUCAACCUUCAGACGUCGACCGAAACCAUCUGGCUAGAGUCCGGGAGAGGAGAGUGGAAUUCCUGGUGUAGCGGUGAAAUGCGCAGAUAUCAGGAAGAACACCCGUGGCGAAAGCGGCUCUCUGGAACGGUACUGACGCUGAGACGCGAAAGCGUGGGGAGCGAACGGG
rnacentral:rRNA from 1 species